rnacentral:rRNA from 1 species
CUUAAAACCCAAAGGACUUGACGGUGUCCCACCCCACUAGAGGAGCCUGUCCUGUAAUUGAUGGUCCCCGCUAAACCUUACCAUUUCUUGCCUAUCAGUUAGUAUACUUCCGUCGCAAGUUCACCACAUGAGUGUUAAUAAGUGAACUUAAUGGUAAAUUCACCAAUACGUCAGGUCAAGGUGCAGCUUAAGAAACGGGUUGAGAUGGGCUACAAUUUCUAAAUUAGAACAUACGAAAUACUGCAUGAAACACAGUUAAGAAGGUGGAUUUAGAAGUAAAAAGAAGAUAGAGUAUUCUUUUUAAUAUGGCUCUGGGACGUGUACAAACCGCCCGUCACCCUCUUCAAUAGAUAAAUCCUAGUUUAUAACCAAAUUUUUUCGCCUUAGAGGAGGUAAGUCGUAACAUGGUAAGUGUACCAGAAGGUGCACUUGGAUCA